GGUUCAUUGCGAUCCCAAGGUUCACUGCGGUUUUCCACAAGCCUGUUUCUGCCUAUCAUCAUGAGUGAUUCCUCAAUACUCAGAUUUAUCAUCAAGAUCUCAAUUAUAAGCUCAAGUUUUGAUGACAACUUGGUGAUCUGCAGAAAGCACCACCAUGUAAGGAAGGCCAAGACCACUCUGGAAUCAGUCAAGGGUGAAAUGGAGUGAGGCAUACCAGGAUAUGCCUGGUUUUACUUUUGGAAAGGAGGUUGAACAGUGCAAUAUUUCUUCUAUAGGAUUGCAGUGACCAGACAUGCUACUGUAACUCUCAUGGUCAUGUGCUGGAAUUAGCAGAUAUUCAACAAUUUGGCCAUCUCGCUGACCUGUUGAUAUCAGAAGACCGCAACAGCUCUGCAAAGCAAGUUGGAAAACAGAAUCCAUGAAACUGGCAGUGACUGGAAACCAGUUGGAAGACUUUGGUCUGUGAUGUAGAGGAGUGGGCAGAGGCAGAAGCAAAGACAACAAAAAGAAGAAGUGAUGUGGAUGUCUUCGUCAUAUUGCAUGACUCUGCUGACCCAGCAACAAAGAGGAGGGUGUUCAACAUCAUCCUGCUAGUCAGGAUUCUUCAGGAGAAGCAGUGGAUUCUUGUGGCAGAGAUGGCCAACCACUAUAAAUACCUUUCAACUCAUCCUGGUUCUUUCAAAUAACUUUCCUGCUUGUUUGCUACUGAAAAGUACUG
ensembl:processed_transcript